GUGGCCCUUCUGUCCUUUAGGAGCUGAGGGACAUUCAGAAGGAAGGUGAAACCCACAGAAUUCCAGCUGAUGGAGCCCACAGAGCUGCUCUCCAGGCAAGGCUCUCCUGCUCUCACCCCUGGGACAAACAAGGACAUUCUCCCCGUUGGUUAUUCCCCAGCACAUCCAACUCAUCCAGCCCACAUCUCUCCCUGGGCAGCACGGUGGGAUUUCAUCCCCAGCCUUGGGGGGUGUUGAUUUUUAACGCCUGAGUAUUUAUUUUUGCCAUUGCCCCGGCCGUUCCAGACCCCGCUUUAUCUGCGGCGCUCUUUGACCCCCGCGUGUCAGGAGUUCAAUCUGGGACGUUCCACUCUUUGCCCCCACUUAAUUCUUUUCGAGCUGCUCGGCCUUUGAAACCUGGUGCCAUAUGCCAGCCCCCAAAGAGCCCUGAUCAAUACGGGGGGACCACGUCCCUGUGACCUUACAACCCGCCCCAAAAAGGGCAGAGGGCAGAGCCCAGCAUUGGCCAUGUUUUCAUUACAGGGCUUGUUGGAGGGGGAGGGACACCCUUUUCUUUCUUGUUUUCUUUCUUUCUUUUCAGAAAGACGUGGCCCAGCUGGGACACUCCUGGCUGCCCAUCCCCUCCUCUGUCUCAUUUAAUGACAGCAAGUGCCAAAACCACCAAAAAUCAGAAGAACUGAUGAGGGGCAGGGACUGCCCUGACCAGGCUCUGCAGGACCUCAGUCCCAUCAGGAAUAAAAGCACUUUUGAACAGCCCUCACAGUUUGGGGUCAGUGGCUUCUGCAGGGCCCUCUUAGAGGAGUUCCAGGACAUUUUUGAGCGUUGCUGUGCUGCUGACUCACCCCAAAUCCUAAUGACCCAAACCCUGUGGGGUGAGAGCAGCACACCCUGGCGUGACCAGGGCUGGAGAAGCAGGAAAACCCCUCUGGCACUGGUCUGUGACCCGAGUGUUCCCAAGGAUGGGAUUGAUGGGGCGCCUCACCCUCAGCAUUCCUGCGCUGGUGGCAAGGGCAGGAGAUCCCCAGAUGGAGGGCUCUGCCAUGCACCAUCCAAUUAACCCUUCUGGCAACUUCCAUUAAAAAUAAAGGGGCCUCCAGGUCCCUGCUGGAAUGGCCU
rnacentral:lncRNA from 1 species